CUUAGAAGUCUUUAGGAAGUUUUGGAGUAAUAAAUAUCUUAGAUCAAACCCUGCUGCAUAGCACUAAAUCCAUCUUUCGAACGAUUUGAUGGCAAACUCAAGUUCUACGUUUAUAAAUUUGCUAAUCUUAUAAACCUAGAGUUCCCCUAGCCUCCAGGAAUUCCUGCUGCCUUUCAUAAUUUAUUUCAGCGCUAAAAGCUAUUGAAAUCAUUCCAAACAUAAUCUUUUUUUUUUUUUCCAAUUGGUUUUAACUGAUAGUCAGUCUUAAUAAGCAAUCCUAUCUUUGAAGCCCGAGGCUAUCACUACUUAUUUUAGAUGACUUUUAUCCCAAAUUGAAUUGUUUUCCUCCAUUAAUGACUUGCAUUUAAACAUGUUUAGACAUGCAUUGCUCCUUUUUUUGUGAUAACUCCAUUAAUGUCACGAAAUAAUGUAGAAUGGGUUGAAUUCAGAUGACUAUCAUUCAAAUCUUGAAAUAUUGGAUUCAAAAAUAUGGCAGCUAUGCUAACGAGUAUUGACUACGAGGUUGUGUGUAUUCACCUUGGCUCUUUUACCAUCACUUUUUUUUUUUUUUUACACAAUUGCAGCAGUUACUGCAGGUUUUGACUUUUCAUAUUGAAGCAGUUACCCCGGAUGCUAUUUUAUUCUCUAAUUGCUGCUUAGUAGCGGUGCUUAUGUUGCAACAGACGUUAUGCUGGGCAAUUUCACUGAUCUAGCUAUAUGCGUGGUUAUGCUAAAGUGUUACAUGUUUCCUUCAUGGCUCUCUGUUGGCCAGGUUGUAGUGCAGAAAGAAAGUUGAAGAUCCUCGUUUCACCUGCCACCUGCUAAGGUAUUUGGCUCUUCUUGCAAAGUAUCCUGUGUCAACAAAAGCUCUGACAUCUGCGCUUUUAACUUUAAUUGGAGAUUUGAUCUGCCAGGCUAAAGUUUGAUGAUGAGUGAGUGACAGAAGAAGAUGGAAAGAGGGCAUUAAAGGAGCAGCAUGGGUGAGGAAGAGCUUUUAGAAUUCAGAAAUUCUUAAAACUUGAGCUACUGCUUGCAGUAGGAUAGAUGGGAGCAGAAUAUCAGGAAAAAUACCCGAUUUUGUUGGGAAUUGGAUCAAUCUUACAAGUCUGCGAGUCUUGUACUUCCAUUCCUUUGAUUUGCCAUCUUUCCCUUCUUGGUGUCAUAAAAGUUUAAUUUUUUUCUGUCCUAUCUGAGGAUUUUUAUGGAUGUAGGUUCUUAACCAACAACUCAUUAAGUGGGGAAGUAUCUCGGUUGGUAUUGGACAGCAAAAAGAACUUGAGUCUACUUUAUACGCUGAGUACCUCUUCAUUUCAUUUGGCUGUAAAAUUUUCUAUACACUGGUGGAUUUCUUGCUGCUGUUACUUUUUUUUUUAAUUUUAUUUUCUGGGUUGUUUGAUUGUGAGACUCAUAAGAGCUUAAAUUGUGACAUUUUAUUCAAUUUUCAUUCUUUCUCAAUUGAAGAGGUACUGCAUGUGUUGUUGGAUCA